AAGGAAUUAGCUCAAUUGGUGGAGCAACCGUUUUACACACGGAAGGUUAGGUGUUCGA
rnacentral:tRNA from 1 species